UCAGGCCUAACACAUGCAAGUCGAGGGGUAUAGUAGCAAUACUAGAGACCGGCGCACGGGUGCGUAACGCGUAUGCAAUCUACCUUGUUCAAAGGGAUAGCCCAGAGAAAUUUGGAUUAAUACCUUAUAGUAUUAUAAAGUGGCAUCAUUUAAUAAUUAAAGAUUUAUCGGAACAAGAUGAGCAUGCGUCCCAUUAGCUAGUUGGUAUGGUAACGGCAUACCAAGGCUAUGAUGGGUAGGGGUCCUGAGAGGGAGAUCCCCCACACUGGUACUGAGACACGGACCAGACUCCUACGGGAGGCAGCAGUGAGGAAUAUUGGACAAUGGGCGCAAGCCUUAUAGGGCCAUGCCGCGUGCAGGAAGACGGUCCUAUGCCUUGAUGGUGCUUUUAUACGGAAAGAAACACCUCUACGGUAGGGGCUGAC
rnacentral:rRNA from 1 species